rnacentral:lncRNA from 1 species
AUAUCUGUCAAAAUCCCAGCUGUCAUUUUUAUAGCUGUACACACUGAUACUUAAAGGAAUGUGAAAUAACAGUGACACUUUGGGAAGUAUUUUGGCAGUUUUUUUAAAAAUAAAAUGUAAGAAACAGAAAACCAAAUACUGCACGUUCUCACUUAUAAGUGGGAACUAAAUGAUGAGAACUCACGAAUACAAAGAUGGGAACAACGCAUAUGGGGCCUAUCAGAGGCUGGAACGUGGGAGAAGGGAGAGAAUCAGGCAACAAGUUGACAAAUGGACAUGAAUUUCACCUCUGAGAGUUUCAUAAGCUGGUAUUGUCCUGACAUUGCAAAGUGUUUACCACAAAGAUCCUGUACAUCCAUCAUCCAGGGCCAGCGUUUGCCUGAUUCUAAUUCCACUGACAUUGAAAUCUACAGCUCUCUGUGAGUCAUUUAUCACACUUAUUAAAAUGUUCCAUUGUGAAUUGGAAUAGCAAUUCACUAUUAUUUCAGAGUGCUGCCCAAGGGGCAUUCUAUGCAGCAAAUCUUAAUGCUUUAUUGAAAUAGUAGUUUGGUUUUAAUAAAUGAUUCUUUGCAAAGUUUAUAGCUCACAGAUGUCUUCCUUAAGGACCCGAGAGCCAUCUUUGAAACAUAAGUAUCAAGUCAGAUAGCACACCUAUCUUUCAGUUUACGUGACAAGGGCCUUGGAAAUACGACCUAUUGAAUGUC